AACGCACCUUGCGCUCCUUGGUAUUCCGAGGAGCAUGUCUGUUUGAGUGUCAUUAAAUUCUCAACCUUAUCAGUUUUCUGUAUAAGGCUUGGAUGUGGGGGUCUGCAGGUCCACUACCGUGGUCUGCUCCUCUAAAAUGUAUUAGCUGGGUUCAGUUACCUUGUCUAUUGGUGUGAUAAUUAUCUGCAUCAUUGGCAGUUUAGCUUUAUAGACCUGCUUCUAACCGUCCUUUGGACAAUACCUUGACAUUUUUGACCUCAAAUCAGAUAAGACUACCCGCUGAACUUAA
rnacentral:misc_RNA from 1 species